AUGUUUUGGAUAUUCUAUUCAUUUUUGGGAAGCAAACUGACAAAGGACAAACCAGUUGUGUCCGUGCACAGAAAUCUUUAUUUCCCGUCACAUUUAUGGCACAGAGGAGCCACCUGGGAGUUCACAGCACAGGGAUGCAGCACCGAGGGAACACAAAGGACGGGGAUGUGCUGGGAGCAAGCUUGGAGUGCAAAGACUCGGCUGUUCCCGAUGGGAACCGGAGCUGCCCAGGGCUGUUACUUCUGCUGGCAGGGCCAGUGGGAGCUCUGCUUGGUCUGGUGGGACACCACGCUGGGGAUGACAAUGGGACAUUUAUGCUGGCUGGACUGGGAGGAGCCUCCGCCGCCACCUCCAGAGCUGAUGAUGAUGGUCUGGCCUGAGGAGCCACCACCGGAUCCUCCACCGCAGCACCCAGAGGAUCCACCACCGCCUCCCCCUCCCAUGAUGAUCUGCCCUCCUGAAGAGCCACCACCAGAUCCUCCUCCGCAGCAUCCGGAGGAGCCUCCUCCUCCUCCACCGCCAGAGCUGAUGAUGAUCUUCUGGGCUGAUCCCCCACUGCCACCACCGGAUCCUCCACCGCAGCACCCAGAGGAUCCUCCACCACCUCCACCUCCCAUCAUGCUCUUUGAAGAUCCACCACCAGAUCCUCCCCCGCAGCAUCCAGAGGAUCCACCACCACCUCCACCUCCCAUUAUGAUCUUCAUCCCAGAGGAUCCACCUCCACCUCCACCUCCCAUCAUACUCUUUGAAGAGCCACCACCAGAUCCUCCACCGCAGCAUCCGGAGGAUCCACCACCGCCUCCACCUCCACCUCCCAUGAUGCUCUUUGAGGAGCCACCGCUGGAUCCUCCACCGCAGCAUCCAGAGGAUCCACCACCGCCUCCACCUCCCAUUAUGAUCUUCAUCCCAGAAGAUCCACCACCAGAUCCUCCACCGCAGCAUCCAGAGGAUCCACCACUGCCUCCACCUCCCAUCAUACUCUUUGAAGAGCCACCACCAGAUCCUCCACCACAGCAUCCAGAGGAUCCACCACCGCCUCCACCUCCCAUCAUGCUCUUUGAGGAGCCAAGAGGAUCCUCCACCACCUCCCAUCAUGCUCUUUGA
rnacentral:lncRNA from 1 species